rnacentral:rRNA from 2 species
UUUGAUCCUGGCUCAGAUUGAACGCUGGCGGCAGGCCUAACACAUGCAAGUCGAACGGUAACAUUUCUAGCUUGCUAGAAGAUGACGAGUGGCGGACGGGUGAGUAAUGCUUGGGAACUUGCCUUUGCGAGGGGGAUAACAGUUGGAAACGACUGCUAAUACCGCAUAAUGUCUUCGGACCAAACGGGGCUUAGGCUCCGGCGCAAAGAGAGGCCCAAGUGAGAUUAGCUAGUUGGUAAGGUAACGGCUUACCAAGGCGACGAUCUCUAGCUGUUCUGAGAGGAAGAUCAGCCACACUGGGACUGAGACACGGCCCAGACUCCUACGGGAGGCAGCAGUGGGGAAUAUUGCACAAUGGGGGAAACCCUGAUGCAGCCAUGCCGCGUGUGUGAAGAAGGCCUUCGGGUUGUAAAGCACUUUCAGUUGUGAGGAAAAGUUAGUAGUUAAUACC